CCUACGGGAGGCUGCAGUGGGGAAUAUUGCACAAUGGGGGGAACCCUGAUGCAGCGACGCCGCGUGGGUGAGGAAGUACUUCGGUAUGUAAAGCUCUAUCAGCAGGGAAGAAAAUGACGGUUGCUGACUAAGAAGGCCCGGCCAAACACUUGCCAGCAGCCGCGGUAAUACGUAGGGGGCAAGCCUUAUCCGGAUGUACUGGGGGUAAAGGGAGCGUAGACGGCGUGGCAAGUCUGAUGUGAAAGGCCGAGGCCCAACCCCGGGACUGCAUUGGAAACUGGCAUACUGGAGUGCCGGAGGGGUAAGCGGAAUUCCUAGUGUAGCGGUGAAAUGCGUAGAUAUUAGGAGGAACACCGGUGGGGAAGGCGGCUUGCUGGACGGUAACUGACGUUGAGGCUCGAAAGCGUGGGGAGCAAACAGGAUUAGAUACCCGAGUAGUC
rnacentral:rRNA from 1 species